rnacentral:rRNA from 1 species
ACGGGAGGCAGCAGUGGGGAAUCUUGCGCAAUGGGCGAAAGCCUGACGCAGCGACGCCGCGUGCGGGAAGAAGGCCUUCGGGUUGUAAACCGCUUUCAGGAGGGACGAAGCCACUCGGGUGAAUAGCCCAGAGGGUGACGGUACUUCCAGAAGAAGCCCCGGCUAACUACGUGCCAGCAGCCGCGGUAAUACGUAGGGGGCAAGCGUUGUCCGGAUUUAUUGGGCGUAAAGAGCGUGUAGGCGGUCAGGUAGGUCGGUUGUGAAAACUGGAGGCUCAACCUUCAGAGGUCGACCGAAACCCCCUGGCUAGAGUCCGGGAGAGGAGAGUGGAAUUCCUGGUGUAGCGGUGAAAUGCGCAGAUAUCAGGAAGAACACCCGUGGCGAAAGCGGCUCUCUGGAACGGUACUGACGCUGAGACGCGAAAGCGUGGGGAGCGAACAGGAUUAGAUACCCUGGUA